rnacentral:rRNA from 1 species
GAACGCUGGCGGCGUGCUUAACACAUGCAAGUCGAACGAUGAUGCUCCAGCUUGCUGGGGUGGAUUAGUGGCGAACGGGUGAGUAACACGUGAGUAACCUGCCCUUCACUUUGGGAUAAGCCUUGGAAACGGGGUCUAAUACCGGGUAUACACAUACUGUCGCAUGGUGGUGUGUGGAAAGCUUUUGUGGUGAGGGAUGGACUCGCGGCCUAUCAGCUUGAUGGUGGGGUAGUGGCCUACCAUGGCUUUGACGGGUAGCCGGCCUGAGAGGGUGACCGGCCACACUGGGACUGAGACACGGCCCAGACUCCUACGGGAGGCAGCAGUGGGGAAUAUUGCACAAUGGGCGGAAGCCUGAUGCAGCGACGCCGCGUGGGGGAUGAAGGCUUUCGGGUCGUAAACUCCUUUCAGCAGGGACGAAGCUUUUGUGACGGUACCUGCAGAAGAAGCACCGGCUAACUACGUGCCAGCAGCCGCGGUAAUACGUAGGGUGCGAGCGUUGUCCGGAAUUAUUGGGCGUAAAGAGCUUGUAGGCGGUUUGUCGCGUCUGCCGUGAAAGCCCAGGGCUUAACCCUGGGUCUGCGGUGGGUACGGGCAGACUAGAGUGUGGUAGGGGAGACUGGAAUUCCUGGUGUAGCGGUGAAAUGCGCAGAUAUCAGGAGGAACACCGAUGGCGAAGGCAGGUCUCUGGGCCACUACUGACGCUGAGAAGCGAAAGCAUGGGGAGCAAACAGGAUUAGAUACCCUGGUAGUCCAUGCCGUAAA